rnacentral:pre_miRNA from 2 species
UCUUAUGAGUGAGCAAAUAAAGUGUUUUCUUGAUAUGGAAUUUACUCCAGGUGAAAGUUCUGUGAA